AUUUUCUUCAAAUGUUUACCAAAUUACAUGCUACAAAAAAUUGAUUUAUUUCAUUGAAAAGUGGAUGAAGAAAAGCAUAGUAAUUUAUUUGAUAACAUCAAUCUACAUUAUUUUGGUUGCCAUGGUAAUACAGAUGGAAGACAAUACAUACAGAACAUUGAUGGAGGUGUUUUUUUUAAAUUUGGAGCAUGUAGGGCAUGUUGUGAUUUAAUGUUCAACGGCAGAGAUGCCAUACAUCAUGGACGAUGGUGGACGAAGGUACUGACAGGUCUGAACCAUAAAUGGGUUACCAUGGAAACAUACCUCUACAUAGAAGCAAUGAAGCUGCAGUAGUGUAAUAGCCAACCUGUACAAAGUUAUAUAGCAGAUUUCAGACAGUAGGGUGUGUAUGUUUACUUUUUCAUUUCUUGUGGCAACACUUUGAUUUAUUUAUUUCUCGUCUUACACAUGCAUUUUUAUGCCCCUGAAGGGAGGCAUAUAGUUUUUGAACCGUCUGUCGGUCUGUCGGUCAGUCUGUCCGCAAUUUUUGUGUCCGGUCCAUAUCUUUGUCAUCGAUGGAUGGAUUUUCAAAUAACUUGGCAUGAAUGUGUACCACAGUAAGACGACGUGUCGCACGCAAGACCCAGGUCCGUAGGUCAAAGGUCCUAAACUCUAACAUCGGCCAUAACUAUUCAUUCAAAGUGCCAUCGGGGGCAUGUGUCAACCUAUGGAGACAGCUCUUGUUGUAUCUAUACACACAACAGGGUUACCAUGGAAACGUACCUCUACAUAGAAGCAAUGAAGCUGCAGUAGAGUAAUAGCCAACCUGUACAAAGUUAUACAGCAGAUUUCAGACAGUAGGGUGUGUAUGUUUACUUUUUCAUUUCUUGUGGCAACACUGAUUUAUUGUACCCCCCAACAACAAAGUUGUAAGGGGGGGGGGUAUACUGGUUUCAGGUUGUCUGUCCGUCUGUCCGUAGACGCAAUCUUGUGCGCACCAUCUCUCCUUAUCCCCUUGACAGAAUUCAAUGAAACUUCACACAAGGGAUCAGUACCAACAGUAGUUGUGCAUGGGGCAUGUUAGGUUCUUUUAGAAAAAAAAUUUGCAGAGUUAUGGGACUUUGUUUUUUGUUACUAUACUAUAUACAUAGACACAAUCUUGUGCGCACCAUCUCUCCUCAUCCCCUUGACACAAUUUAAUGAAACUUCACACAAGUGAUCAGUACCAACAGAAGUUGUGCAUGGGGCAUGUUAGGUUCUUUUAGAAAAAAAAUUUGCAGAGUUAUGGGACUUUGUUUUUUUUGUUACUAUACUAUAUACAUAGACACAAUCUUGUGCGCACCAUCUCUCCUCAUCCCCUUGACACAAUUUAACGAAACUUCACACAAGUGAUCAGUACCAACAGUAGUUGUGCAUGGGGCAUGUUAGGUUCUUUUAGAAAAAAAAUUUGCAGAGUUAUGGGACUUUGUUUUUUUGUUACUAUACUAUAUAUAUAGACACAAUGUUGUGCGCACCAUCUCUCCUCAUCUCCUUGACACAAUUUAAUGAAACUUCACACAAGUGAUCAGUAACAACAGUAGUUGUGCACGGGGCAUGUUAGGUUCUUUCAGUGACAAAAAUUGCAGAGUUAUGGGACUUUGUUUCUUGUUAACAUACUAUGUACAUACAGUCUGCAUAUGCAAUCUUGUGCAUGCCUAAUCUACCAAACCCUUGCACACAAUUUAAUGAAACUUCACACAAGUGAUCAGUACCUGAACCCUAGUUGUGCAUGGUGCAUGUUACAUUCUUUUAGAUAAAUAUUCUGCAUAGUUAUGGGACUUUGUUUUUUGUUACUAUACUGUAUACAUACAGUCUAUAUAUAUAUACAGUCCACAUAAUUAUGCAAUCUUGUGUGCAUCAAAUUGCAAUGUACUGUGUCAGUGCAUGCGGGGGGUACAUUCAUCACCUUUAAUGAUAGCUCUAGUUUAUUUCUUGUUUUACACAUGCAUUUUUAUGCCCCCGAAGGGAGGCAUAUAGUUUUUGAACUGUCUGUCGGUCUGUCAGUCUGUCUGUCAGUCUGUCCUCAAUUUUCGUGUCCGGUCCAUAUCUUUGUCAUCGAUGGAUGGAUUUUCAAAUAACUUGGCAUGAAUGUGUACCACAGUAAGACGACGUGUCGCGCGCAAGACCCAGGUCCGUAGGUCAAAGGUCCUAAACUCUAACAUCGGCCAUAACUAUUCAUUCAAAGUGCCAUUGGGGGCAUGUGUCAUCCUAUGGAGACAGCUCUUGUUGUAUCUAUACACACAACAGGGUUACCAUGGAAACGUACCUCUACAUAGAAGCAAUGAAGCUGCAGUAGUGUAAUAGCCAACCUGUACAAAGUUAUACAGCAGAUUUCAGACAGUAGGGUGUGUAUGUUUACUUUUUCAUUUCUUGUGGCAACACUUUGAUUUAUUUAUUUCUCGUUUUACACAUGCCUUUCUGUAUCUAUAUACACAACAGGGUUACCAUGGAAACUUGUAUCUACAUCCCCACAAUGGUAUAAUGGAUGACGGACGUUCAGAUGUAAAAAGUUAUACAGCAAAUUUUAGAGCAUAUAGGUUGUGUAUGUUUACUUUUCAUUUCUUGUAGCGACACUUUGAUAUAUUUGUUUCUGUUUUUACACAUGCAUUUCUGUAUCUAUAUACACAAGAGGGUUACCAUGGAAACAAUCUACAUCUAGCCAUUGAUAUAAAUGGAUGACCAACGUCGACGUCUACAAUCAGCCGUGAGAGAAAUUCUGCAAAUGAUCACGUGACAUAUGCUUAGCUCCAAGACCUGUAAAUGAAUUCAGAUGUUGCAACUAUGGUGCUUGAUAUUGACAAACACGUGCACGGAUGUCAUGUUGUAGAUUUCACAGUGGUUAAGUGGAUGGUGCAGCUUGGUCCUUUUUCUAAGGCACAACGGGCCAGAGUGAAUGAAGAGCUUUGAGCAUGCACAUACAGUUUCUGGCUUUGGUGAUUGUAAAGCUCGAAUGUUUGAUGAGAAACUCAAACUAUCCGGCGAGAAGCAGUUUCCUGGAUCAUACACGAAGAAACUUUAAAUUGAUGGAACUAUAACUGCCGAAGGACAGCCUUGCUGGUACCAUAAAGCUGCUGAUAACCAGAGGUGCACUAGUACCAGUCGAUACCGGUCACCAGAGAUGCACUGGUACCCUAUGGAUGCCUAUCAUCAGAGGUGUGCUGGGCCCCUUAUGUUAACAUAUUUAUUAAUCAACUGUUUUCGGCCAGCACUGUUUGAUGGUCUCAAUGGAAUUCAAGGCUUGGUGGACAUGUUGUCUGUAUUUGGCCUGUCAUGCUCAUGUUCUUCCACACCUCUUGCACAAAACGGAAAAUCCUUGAUGGCCGGACAGACAAAGACUUCAGUUGGGUUUAAAAAGGCAUGAAGAUAGUGUUUUACGUUGCUGAAAGACAUAGAAAAGAACCGAUUGCAGAAAAAUAUCACCAUGCCGUACUGUGUUUGUUAUUUCUGAUAGAUGGCAGCGCAAUGCGUUCCAGAUUGAUUUCAAACACACAAGAGAAAUAUAUGCAGAAGGAAGAACAAAGUAUGAUGAAUUCAUGACAAACCUUGCACAAGAUAUAAGCAUAUCACCAUCACAGCCGCCCUGACACGGGCAUAUUUAAACAAAUUAGAAAUAAGCUGACAUGUUUAUAAUCAUAUACUCAUGUACAAAGUAUAUAGGGUUAUAUUGGAGUCACGUAUGUCCAACAGUCCGUUCGUCCAUCCGUCCAUCGUGUCCGCUUUCAUAAAACUGACAUCAGUUAUUAAUCUCAUCAGGACGGUGUGCAUAGCUCACAACCCAUGUCACUAGGUCCAAAGUUAAGGUUACCUUUUGAGGUCUAAAGUCAAGUAGUUUAACUUCAUGUCCGCUCCAUAUUGUCUAAAUGGCUUGGCAGGUACUUAGCUGGACUAUUCAAAGAUUAAAGAGAAUUAUUGUACUUGACUUUGCGUCGUCGUCACUGCCACCGAUGUAUUCAUGUUAAAAUUUUACGGCAAGCUUGUGUCACUAUAUAUUCUUUACUAUUUCCCCUUUUAACUUCAAACUUCACAUAAGUGUUAGUCUUGGUAAGGGACAGACAUCUGUUAUUUUAGAGUCUGGCUUCUUAAACGUCAAGGUCACUGGGUCAAACAUUAUAACAGUGCUGGUUAAAGUUUUAUGACAAACUUCUCAAUUGCACUAUAUCCUCUUAACCACUACCCUAUAAUCAUCAAACCUUACAUAAGGAUUGACCUUAGGAAGGGGCAAAAGUCUUUAGGUUUAAGAUCAGGUAGGUCAAAGGUCAAGGGCACUGGGUCAGAUUUUGUAAUAAUGUUCGUUAAAGUUUUAUGCACGCUUCACAUUUGGGCUUAUAACUCAUACUGUUUCUUUGCACUGGUAUGUCCCACGCUUUUGAGUCCUACCCAUACUUUCUAUACCCCAAUCCCGACACCUACCAAAAGAUACAUUCCUCACACAAACUUAUAUUUCAUAUUCCCCUCAUCUCCGCUACCCACCUGUCUCCACCUACUCCCACCAACCCCAUUUCACCACCUCUUGCCCAGAACAAAGAUUUAUUUUACAUUUUCUUUACAAUAAAUUAGAUUGUAAAUUGAUGUAUAUCUUGUAUAUCAUAUGUUUAUAUGAUGUUUCAGUAUCCCUUAUUCCCACACUUCUACUCCCAACCCCACUCGACUCUAAUUUUUUUCUUAUAUAUUUUUUACAUCUCUCACACAUCACAUCUCAUCCCCCAUCUCCUAUUCUACAGCAACACCCCACUCAAUGUAGAUCACUAGGUCCAAGGGCAAGGUCACACUUGAAGGUCAAAAGUCAUGGUGACAAAAUUUUACAUUCCCUUUGCAAAAGCGACGUCUGGGGGUACUAAUCACUUUAAUUGAUAGCUUUUAUUGCUCAUGUUUAAGUGACCUAAAUGUAUAGCAUUAGCUGAAUUGUAUUAUUUAUUUGUUAAAUGUAAGUUAAAUUUUAGGGUAAUUGAGGAAAUUAUAUAAUUUUAAAUUGGUGAUACAGUCGAACUAUUUUAGACAAAUCAGAUAUUUCUAGCUUAGUUUGUUACUGGUCUUGAACUAAUGUAUCUAUAGUUUUAAAGUAUCGGGUUAUAUUUAAAAAUACAUUCAUGAAGAUUUGUUAAAUUAUUUCAAAAGCAUCUCAAAUAUAAGUUAUUGUAGAACUGGACAGGGAUAGUUUUCAAAGAUAAAUAAAUAUGCGGGGAUCAGUUUAUGCACACAAAUAAAAGAAUUUGGGAUCGGAGUUUAACUUUAUUUUGUUUGUUUGUUUGUUUCAGUAUAAGGUCGAAAUACGAAUCACUCAAGACGCAACUUCUGAAAAUAUAAACUCUAGUGUUCACACGUAAAAAUAAUUCAGUUUUACAUAUAAAUUAAAGAUUUUUUUUCGUGCACAAUUUAUCAGUGUAGGUCACAUGUUACAUUACGCUUGCUCUUAUGGCAAUAAAUAUGUUGGAAAAAAUUAAAAUAGUUCUACGAGAUUGAUUUCUUUUUCAUUUUAAUAUAGCUAUUUUCUACUGAUUUUUUUUUGUUAAAAAAACUGUCAAAUUAUGUGUAGAUCUAAUUCAUAUAUAUUCUUUCGCAUUUAAUUGAUGUUGCGUGCAAGUGAACAUUGUAUUUGGAUUUCCCACUUCUAAAACUAUCAGGGUAUAAUGUGUCGUUAUGUUUCACUAAUACUCUGAAAGCUUGACGUAAAAUUCCUUACUACAAAAUGUAGAGAUAAAAUCAUAAUUGUUUUAUUCAAACACAUAUUCUACCGUCUUUUGUCUGGGUCGUCUAUAUGUAAAUUUUAAAAGUCAUUUUGGCCUCAUUUCUUGUACAUUAAAUUUUACACAAUUUGGCAUAACUCUUAACCGCAUAACUCUUAACCGACACCUAACUCCUGAGCACUAACAUUAACGCUUGGGGCUGAAAUGACUUUUAAAGCAAUUUUGUCUUUUAUAGGAACAGUGUGUUAAACGUUAAGUGUUUUAGGAACGAUGUGUAAAAAUAUGUCCUGAUCAAAUGUUUAGUAGAAUUGUGGGCAAACUUUUAGGAUUUUAGUUUGCGCUUUUAAAGGAUUACUGAAAUGUACCGUUAUGUUAUAACAUGAUAAACUCAUUGUUUCAAACGGAGAGAAAUCCAAAUAUGAUUUUCACUGGUGUGGAACUACACUUGAACGCGAAAGGACAUGAAUGGUAAGGACUGGAAAUGCUUCAAAAAGACAAAUAUGUAUAAUAGUAAUUGCUUACAAAAUCACUAAAAUACAGUCAAAACGAUCAAAAUUUAAAAGAAAUGCACAUCUCGUAGACCUAUCAACAUAAGCAUUAUGACAGCAUAAAAUACAGAGCGACGUUACGCAACACGCAUGUCUCUGUGCGGUGGAAUUAUUAAAUAAAUUUAUAUUAACUCGACAAGAUAUAAAACAAUGCAACAUAAACUGUAAGUGAGCUUUUUAACCGACCAAUGUAGGAAUUUAAAAAAAUGUGUAAUACUGAAUUAUCUUGCACUCGGAACACCAGACUAAAAUUUACUCAGUGAAAGAUAUUUCGAUCUUAUACUGAAACAAGCAAAUGCCCCCUUUCUAUAUCUUUUACAGCAGGAAUAGGUAACAAACAUUAAUAUUUUGAGGAAUAAUGGUUAAAAAUAAGAUGAAUCAACCUAAGACAGAAAUUAAUAUAUUUGUUGUUAAAUAUUUUUAUAAUCCCAAGAAGAGUGCCCUUUUCACAUUUGAAAAUUUACCAUUUCGAAAUGACAUUCACAAUUUCAGUAACUGUAUUACUGUGUUUAGAUAUUUUAUGGUUUAUAAUCCUAAGAAGAGUACAUUUUCACAUUUGAAAAAUAAUUAUUUUUCUCUCUUAUAAAUCAACCAUGUCUGUCUUCUAGAUCUAUUAAUUAUAUACAUUUUAUAUUUUGUAUUGUAGUAAUGUAUAAUUUUCCUUCGCAAAGUCAGAAUUUUAAAUAUACUUGUAAGCUUACCUUUUUUCGCAAGGAGUUUUACUGUUUGAUGUGAGAGCAUAGUUCAAUUCAAUGAAUUUUAGUUCAGGUAUUUAAUUUUAAGAUAUAUUUUUCAGAAUUUUAACACUAAAAUUAUACUUGAAAAUGUCUUUUGUGUUAUUUAUUGUUGUUUGAAUAACGAAUAAACGCCAUUCUGUUG